AGGCCGGAGUGGCUGGCAGAGUCGCCCUCCAGUGAAGGCAGAGAGGACUGUGCUUGGCUUUCAGACUUUAAAGACCCUGUGGAUGUAGAGGCCCUUCUGGGGGACCCUCUUAUUCUUCAAGGAGAUGAGGCGUGAAGAUUGGUGUUCUGCAGUUUUGUAGACUUGGUAAACCUGGAGUUUGGCUAGAGCCGCAGCCUCGGGGCCAGUACUCCUGCCGUCUGGAGCAUCUAUGGGUGUUCACCCUAGACGUGUUUGCAGUGGGCACUGCCAGGCUGCCGGGCGGUGUGUCUGCUGGAGCCGUUCUCGGGAAACCCCACAGCUGGGCUGCUGAGAGCAAGGAUCUGUCCAGUCUUUCUCCUAUCCUUUGACUGUAUCCACUCAAUAUCUCUGAGGUCCUCCCCCUCUGCCCCAGGCACGGUGCUAAGCAUGGAGAUGCAUGCGUGGACAGCUCAGCCCAGACUCCAGGGGCUGACAGUCCGGUUGGGGAGGGCCAUGUGUCACCAGCGGACCUGCGGAGUGAUGGCGAGCUCAGGGAACCCGGGGAGGGUGGCCGGUAACUCCUAGGAGCCUUUGGGCUGCAAGUACCUCAGAGGGUGGAGCCCUGCUGAGAGGUUGGAUAUUUAGUGGCCACGCCCCCAUCCCUUUGCCCUGAGGGUCACCUUUGCCCUCAGCCCACCUGUGCUCCCCUCGUCCCGCCCACCUCCACACACUAUUCCUGGGAAAGGCUUGGGGGUGAGUCGUUUUGGCUUGGGCACUUUCCUCAACUGCCUUCCAGAAACCCCCAUUCUGGGGCCCCCUCUUCCUCACCAGUCUGUCCCCCUCAGUCCCCUCUGCUGGUUCUUCUCACAGACCUCGCUAAGGAUUCUGGAGCCCCCUCAGGACUCAGGCCUUUGUCCCUUCACUUCCCUCUGCACUCAGACCCUCAGGGACCUCAUCUGGUCUUGUGACGUUCAAUAUUAUCUAUAUAAUAUCCAGGACUUGCAAACACACCCCCGUCCAGACCCCUCCUCCAAGCCCAGGCUUGGACUCCAACACCUGCUCCACUCCCCUCUGCAAUGUCUAAUAGACAUCCCUAAACUAAUUCCCAGUUUUCUCUCUCUCCGCCCCCGACACCCAAAUCUGCUCCAGCAGAGUUCCCCUCAGCCAGCUCAGUGAUGAGACUUCAUUCCUCCAGCUGCUGGGGGCCUGAGCCUGGGGGCCACGUGAUGCCUCUCUUUCUCGCACAGCCAGUGCCCCACCUGAUGGGGAGCAUGGUUGGUGCCACCUUUAGACACAUCCAGGGUCCGCCCACACCCAUCACCCCACCACUUCCUCCUUCAGCUCUUGCCUCCAUCAUUGCAAUAGCCUCUCAGUGGAUUUUCCUGAUCCCGCUUUUAAAUCCCUAAAGCCUAUUCUUAACACAGAAGCCAGAACACCCUUUUCAAAGAUGUCGGAGUCUGGCCCUCCUCUGCCCCAAACACUGCAAGGGCCCAUCUCACUCACACCCACGUUGCCCACAGGCCUCAAGGCCCCACUUGAUCGGGCCCUGCUCCCUCCAACCUCACCUCCCGCCAUGCUCUCCUUCCCUCUCUGCUCCAGCCUUGGGCUGCCUUACUGACCCUCAGAGGCCCCAGGCUGGCUCCUGUCCUGGGGCCUGUGCUCAGCCUGAAGAGCUCUUCCCCCAGAUCCACAUGCCUCUCCCUCUCUGCCUUCAAGCUGUUGCUCAAAUACCGCCCUUCACCCGUUUAAAAUCAUAACUUCCCCCACCCCUAGCAAUGAACCACCAUACGCCGCUCUAUUUUUUCGCCCAUAGUACUUAUUAUCUUCUAACAUUGUAUAUGAUUCACUUAUUUAUUAUAUUUAUUACUUGUGGUCAGUCUCUUCCUGCUGGAAUGUAAACGCUAUGUAAAGGAUGGGUUUUAUUGUUUUUAUUCAUUGAUGUAUCCCAAACAUACCCACAACAGCACCAGACACAUAGUAAGCCCUUAAUAAAUGUUUAUUGAAUUGAAUUGAAGUCACCUACACUUUAGUGUAAAUAAAUGUACAUGUUUUCCCUCCCCCUUACAUUGUAAGUUUUUCUCCACUAAUUCAAGAAGGGUUUUCCCCCUGCAUCACAGUGCUCUUGGGAAAAGUAUUUGGCGGGGGUGAGGGGUGGGGCUGUGAGUUUUAUAGUCUUGAAAUAACACUGAGUGGAUGGAAGACCCAUGGUGGAACCAGGACUCAUGGAAGGAGAAGCCGGGAGAGCUGCCUGCUGCCUCCCCAAAGGCAGGGUGUGGCGGUGGCAGCCUCUUGGGUGUGACAGAGAGAAAAGCGACAGCGCCUCACACGUGUUCAUAGUGUGACUACAAGUGAUUGCUCCAAGGACAGCGGUGAGGAGGGAGGUGCGGAGGACCAGACAAGGGCAAAUCCUCGGGGUUGAGUCCUCCAGCCCGUUUUCAUGGCAAGAUGGACCCAGGAAGCAAACUGGACUCUGCAUCAGCAAGGUGUCUGUUCUCUGCGGGACGACCUGCAGAAGCUACUCAGCGGGGCCCCCUUGCAAGACCACCGGGUGGAUUUGAUGUUUAUGCCAUUGUCAGCUUUUUAAAAUGUGUCAUUUAUUGUGAUUUUUUUCUUCAUUCUAAAUAUACAUCCACUUUCUAUACCUAA